rnacentral:rRNA from 1 species
AGUGAACGCUGGCGGUAGGCCUAACGCAUGCAAGUCGAACGGCAGCACAGUAAGAGCUUGCUCUUACGGGUGGCGAGUGGCGGACGGGUGAGGAAUACAUCGUAAUCUACUUUUUCGUGGGGGAUAACGUAGGAAAACUUACGCUAAUACCGCAUACGACCUACGGGUGAAAGCAGUGGAUCUUCGGACCUUGCGCGAUUGAAUGAGCCGAUGUCGGAUUAGCUAGUUGGCGGGGUAAAGGCCCACCAAGGCGACGAUCCGUAGCUGGUCUGAGAGGAUGAUCAGCCACACUGGAACUGAGACACGGUCCAGACUCCUACGGGAGGGAGCAGUGGGGAAUAUUGGACAAUGGGCGCAAGCCUGAUCCAGCCAUACCGCGUGGGUGAAGAAGGCCUUCGGGUUGUAAAGACCUUUUGUUGGGAAAGAAACGCAGCAGGUUAAUACCACGCUGUUCUGACGGUACCCAAAGAAUAAGCACCGGCUAACUUCGUG